AAAGAAGUAAAGCGCUGUCUGGACUGCCUAAAACAGGAAUUUGUUCAGACAGUAGACACACAAAAGAUCUUUUGAUGCUAUUAAGAUGCAGAUACCCAAAGCCAUCUUCCUGGUGCAUGAUUGUUCAUGAGGCACUCAUCAGCACAGCAACAAAAAUGAUCUUGUGCGCAGGAAGAAGUUCCUCAGACAGGAAGUGGAGAGUAGUACUUUGGGAAGCCCUGCUGCUGCUGCUGAGUUUUUAGAGCACCUGCAGUCCAGAUACUGGAUCUCUGCUCACCUGCACUCGACUCAACUCUGAUGCAGCACCAGACUAAGAAUAAUGAAUAAUGCUGCCCUGAAGAUCAGCAACUUUCUCUCACUUGACCAGUGUCUUCCUUCAGAAGAUUGUGGAGGAAGCUCCUACGAGAAGCUUGAGUUUGAUCCAGAAUGGCUGGCCAUUUUGAAAUCGACAGACAACCUUCAGAAACCAUCCCACAGUUACUGGAACCCUCCGCUGGACAACAGACUACACAGCAGAUACAAAACCCAUGACAAUGAUGAUAACAGCUGCUCAUUUUCUGAAAGCUUUCUGAUACCACAUAUUGGUUUCUAUUUCUAAGUAUUUUAGCAUCCUGUUUCUCUGCUUCUUUCAGGUGGGAUUUCAGUCCAUCAGACAGACAUCUACAUCCUGGUGCAGGGCAAA